GAGGCUACGAAUUUGUAAGAAUAGUGAGAGGAUCUUUAGACUAAAAUCUAUAUUUUUUAGAUUAAAAAUAAUUCAUAUACUAAUAGGCUAAUAUUUUUUUUUUAGUUAUGGCCAACACACUAUCCCUCCGUACACUAUUGGACAGUGACAAGCUCAUCAGACCCAACUUCAAUAGCUGGUAUCGAAAGUUGAAGAUCAUCUGAGAGCACGAGAAGAUUUUAUAUGUCCUUAC
rnacentral:lncRNA from 1 species